rnacentral:misc_RNA from 1 species
UAUGACAAUCGAAUAUUUUCUCGUGUUAAAUUAUUCGAAAUACUGUAUGCGGUGUGCGAUGCGUUCAAUCUAGUACGAAAAAAAGCAUCGUAUGCCGUAAAUUUCUCCUCUUUUGAGCACCGAAUGCACGCCCUUAAGCGCCGCUCACACGAGUUUAAUCGUUACGCCACUGUUUGCGAACCUCGAGAAUUCUGCUUUCCCAAAUCGCACUCAGCAUCUCGCAGUCGCAGAGUCUCGGCUCUGUUCGCGUGUGAUCGAGUGCUCGUCAAGAGUACAGCUUCCACUAGUGACCGGGAACGACGCCGUUCCAGAAACGUUGCCAGGACCACGUGGGGUUGCGGCGUAAAUUACAGUCGACAACAGCUUUCGCUAUCUCUUUUUCGUAUCUUCAACGAGACACUAAUUUAUUUCCAGAUAAUUUAUUUAAAUAUGGAGGACGAGAUUUCAUCAUUCAAACUAACCAACAAACACAACAAAAAAACAGAGAAGAGUAGCUACAUUUGGAUGGAAUUAAAACUGCUGCAGUUGUUUGUGAUACAAUGCCGGCUGGGUCAAAUCGUACUGAAAGUCCUGGAAAGAUUUCUGUGGAUCGUAGAAAAGUGCGCAGAAUGGAGUUUGCCCGAUGAAGAGAUUCCUAGAGACGAGAACGGGAAGAUUCUGGAAAAGCUGGAACUCGUGAGACCCCUGCCGUGGAUCUUGUUCUUGCCGAGCUUGAUUAUCCUUCGUAUAAUCAAAAUAUCACUGAACAUAAUCAUUUUUUUAUUGGGUUUCUCUCUAAUCACGGCGAAUGAUUUGGUAAAAUUCACGCAGAAAUUACGGAUGCACCUGAUUGCUCUGAAGUGCAGCGAGAUGGAAACGAGACACUACAAGGACAAGAGGUCGUCGAUGAACGAGGCCAAGCAGGCCCUGAUCAAGUCCAUUCGUCUGACUCUGUCGAGUCUGUCCUGCCUGGAUGCGUCCAAACCCUCCCUGUCACCACCGCCCACUAAAAUUCACGUUAGUAGCGCCCUCGAUCUCGAUGCAGUAACAACGACAUUGGAAGAAAACUCGGUGACUGAAUCAAUGGAUUCGAUAAAGCGGAGAGGCUCGAUAAACUCGGCUGAGCAGGAUAAAGAGAAACAAAAGACUCGGCAAGAAGAACUAAAUCAAUCGACCGAUUCGAGUGAUUCCGAAUAUGUUUGCUCCGUGGACCGAGACAAUUCGAGCAUAAAUUCCGACUCCAACACCAGCGUGUCCUCGAAUGAGCUUAACGAUCUCAUCCAAGAUAUUCAGAAGUGGCACGAAGAAGAAAGAAAGGCGGAUCAAAACCAGCAGUUCAUGGAUGCCGAGCGAGCUUCCACGAACGUCGAACAAGCUGCCACGAACGUCGAACAAGCUGCCACGAAUGCCGAAAAAGCUACCAUGGACGCCGAACAAGCUACCGUGGACGUUGAGCAAGCUACCGUGGACGCCGAACAAGCUACCGUGGACGUUGAGCAAGCUGCCGUGGACGUCGAGCAAGCUGCCUCGGACACCGAACAAGCUGCCACGGACACCGAACAAACUGUCGCGGACGCCGAACAAGCUACUCCCGAGCAGAGCCAGUCUCCGGGGACAGCCUGAAGACAGCCGAGUUCAUCAAUGGCGAAAUAUGUUUCAGCUCAGCAUCUACGGUUUCAGAGUUGAAGUCACUCGAAAAGGCCAACAACGGCGCUGUAGUGGACAAGCGCGGUGCAAACGCGAGUAAGUGUCACAAGGGUAAACGCACGAGU